GUUGCUUCUUACUUGUGAGCACCUCUUAAUUUUGUGGGGAUGUUCCUGUUUCGGAAGCAUAUAUAGAUAAUUUUUGCCAGUUUUAAACAGCGUGAUGUGUACAUCAUUUAGCACCAUGCUACCUGUCUACUGGUACAAUC